GGAAUUUUCCGCAAUGGGCGAAAGCCUGAUGGAGCGACACCGCGUGAAGGAUGAAGGCCUAACGGUUGUAAACUUCUUUUCUGAAGGAGCAUAAUGAGAGUACUUCAGGAAUAAGGGACGGCUAAAUACGUGCCAGCAGCCGCGGUAAUACGUAUGUCUCGAGCGUUACCCGGAAUCACUGGGUGUAAAGGGUUUGUAGGCGGCUUGUUAAGUUGGAUAUGAAAGACCGGAGCUCAACUCCGAGUUUGUGUUCAAAACUGGCAAGCUAGAAUCAAGGAGAGGUAAGCGGAAUUCUAAGUGUAGGGGUGCAAUCCGUAGAUACUUAGAGGAACACCAAAAGCGAAGGCAGCUUACUGGAAUUGUAUUGACGCUGAGGAACGAAAGCGUGGGGAGCGAAAAGGAUUAGAUACCCCAGUAGUC
rnacentral:rRNA from 1 species